rnacentral:rRNA from 2 species
AGUUUGAUCCUGGCUCAGAACGAACGCUGGCGGCAUGCCUUACACAUGCAAGUCGAACGGAAGUAGAAAUACUUUAGUGGCGAACGGGUGAGUAUCGCGUGAGCAAUCUGCCUUCUACUUUGGGAUACCAGACCGAAAGGACUGUUAAUACCGAAUAUGACCACGGGGACGAAUGUCUCCGGGGUGAAAACUCCGGUGGUAGAAGAUGAGCUCGCGUCCUAUUAUGUUAGUUGGUGAGGUAACGGCCCACCAAGACUACGAUGGGUAGCCGACCUGAGAGGGUGAUCGGCCACACUGGAACUGAGAUACGGUCCAGACUCCUACGGGGGGCAGCAGUGGGGAAUAUUGGGCAAUGGAGGAAACUCUUACCCAGCAAUGCCGCGUGAAUGAAGAAGGUCUUCGGAUUGUAAAGUUCUUUAGAAUGGGGAAGAAUAAAUGACGGUACCCAUAAAAUAAGCUCCGGCUAACUACGUGCCAGCAGCCGCGGUAAUACGUAGGGAGCGAGCGUUGUUCGGAAUGACUGGGCGUAAAGGGUGCGUAGGCGGCCCCGUAAGUUGGAAGUGUAAUACCUAGUGCUUAACACAGGUGCUGCUUCCAAAACUGCGGGGCUUGAGUGCAGGAGAGGAAAGUGGAAUUUCUAGUGUAGCGGUGGAAUGCGUAGAUAUUAGGAAGAACAUCGGUGGCGAAGGCGACUUUCUGGACUGUAACUGACGCUGAGGCACGAAAGUGUGGGAAGCAAACAGGAUUAGAUACCCUGGUAGUCCACACCGUAAACGAUGGAUGCUAGGCGUGGGAGGUAUCGACUCCCUCCGCGCCGCAGAUAACUCGAUAAGCAUCCCGCCUGGGGAGUACGGCCGCAAGGUUGAAACUCAAAGAAAUUGACGGGGACCCGCACAAGCAGCGGAGCAUGUGGUUUAAUUCGACGCAACGCGAAAAACCUUACCAAGUCUUGACAUUAUAUGACCGUCUUAGAGAUAAGAUUUCGGUAGCAAUACCGCAUACAAACAGAUGGUGCAUGGUUGUCGUCAGCUCGUGUCGUGAGAUGUUGGGUUAAGUCCCGCAACGAGCGCAACCCUUAUUACUAGUUGCCAAUAUUAAGUUAGGAACUCUAGUAAGACUGCCGUAGAUAAUACGGAGGAAGGUGGGGAUGACGUCAAAUCAUCAUGCCUCUUACGACUUGGGCUACACACGUGCUACAAUGGCUAUUACAAAGGGUUGCCAACCCGCAAGGGGGAGCUAAUCCCAAAAAGAUAGUCUCAGUUCAGACUGUGGGCUGAAACCCGCCCACACGAAGUCGGAGUUGCUAGUAAUCCCGAAUCAGCAUGUCGGGGUGAAUGCGUUCCCGGGUCUUGUACACACCGCCCGUCAAGCCAUGGGAGUUGGUAGUACCCAAAGUCGUUAGCCUAACCGUAAGGAGGGCGGCGCCUAAGGUAAGAUCAGUGACUGGGGUGAAGUCGUAACAAGGUAGCCGUA